UACAGAGGGUGCAAGCGUUGUUCGGAAUUAUUGGGCGUAAAGCGCGUGUAGGCGGCUUUGCAAGUCGGGUGUGAAAGCCCUCAGCUUAACUGGGGAACUGCGUCUGAUACUGGAUGGCUCGAGUGUGGGAGAGGAAUGCGGAAUUCCAGGUGUAGCGGUGAAAUGCGUAGAUAUCUGGAGGAACACCGGUGGCGAAGGCGGCAUUCUGGACCAUAACUGACACUGAGAGACGAAAGCCAGGGGAGCAAACGGG
rnacentral:rRNA from 1 species